rnacentral:rRNA from 1 species
GAUGAACGCUAGCGGCGGGCUAAUACAUGCAAGUCGAACGGUGCAGCAAUGCAUAGUGGCAGACGGGUGCGUAACGCGUAUGCAACCUACCGUUUUAUCGGGGGACAACAUUUCGAAAGAAGUGCUAAUACCGCGUAAGAUAGUAGUGGGACAUCCCACAGCUAAUUAAACUUUCGGGGAUAGAAGAUGGGCAUGCGUCUGAUUAGCUAGUUGGCGGGGUAACGGCCCACCAAGGCGACGAUCAGUAGGGGAACUGAGAGGUUGAUCCCCCCACACUGGCACUGAGAUACGGGCCAGACUCCUACGGGAGGCAGCAGUAGGGAAUAUUGGGCAAUGGACGGAAGUCUGACCCAGCCACGCCGCGUGCAGGAGGAAGGCGCUCUGCGUUGUAAACUGCUUUAGCAGGGGAAGAAAAGACUCAUGCGUGAGGAAUUGACGGUACCCUGAGAAUAAGCACCGGCUAACUACGUG